GGGAACGUAGCUUAGUGGUAGAGUACUUGCCUAGCAUGCAUGAAGACCUGGGUUCAAUUCCUCAGUACCA
rfam:Dipodomys ordii ctg_broad_rename0000616, whole genome shotgun sequence.